rnacentral:rRNA from 1 species
CCUACGGGUGGCAGCAGUGAGGAAUCUUGGUCAAUGGCCGGAAGGCUGAACCAGCCAAGCCGCGUGAGGGAGGAAGGCGCAGAGCGUCGCAGACCUCUUUUGCCGGGGGACAAUAGGCCGGACUCGUCCGGUCCUGAGGGUACCUGGCGAAAAAGCAUCGGCAAACUCCGUGCCAGCAGCCGCGGUAAUACGGAGGAUGCGAGCGAUAUUCGGAUUCAUUGGGGUUAAGGGGUGCGCAGGCGGGCCUUUAAGCCGGCGGUGAAAUCGCGGGGCUAAACCCCGCCGAGCCGUCGGAUCUGGGGGCCUUGAGGGCGGCGGAGGCAUGCGGAAUGCGCGGUGUAGCGGUGAAAUGCAUAGAUAUCGCGCAGAACCCCGAUUGCGAAGGCAGCGUGCCGUGCCGCCACUGACGCUGAGGCACGAAAGCGCGGGGAUCGAACAGGAUUAGAUACCCCUGUAGUC